rnacentral:rRNA from 1 species
GACGAACGCUGGCGGCGUGCUUAACACAUGCCAGUCGAACGGAAAGGCCCUGCUUUUGUGGGGUGCUCGAGUGGCGAACGGGUGAGUAACACGUGAGUAACCUGCCCUUGACUUUGGGAUAACUUCAGGAAACUGGGGCUAAUACCGGAAAGGAGCUCCCGCUGCAUGGUGGGGGUUGGAAAGUUUCGGCGGUUGGGGAUGGACUCGCGGCUUAUCAGCUUGUUGGUGGGGUAGUGGCUUACCAAGGCUUUGACGGGUAGCCGGCCUGAGAGGGUGACCGGCCACAUUGGGACUGAGAUACGGCCCAGACUCCUACGGGAGGCAGCAGUGGGGAAUAUUGCACAAUGGGCGGAAGCCUGAUGCAGCAACGCCGCGUGCGGGAUGACGGCCUUCGGGUUGUAAACCGCUUUCGCCUGUGACGAAGCGUGAGUGACGGUAAUGGGUAAAGAAGCACCGGCUAACUACGUG